rnacentral:rRNA from 1 species
CAGUCGCCACGGUAAUACGUAGGGUGCGAGCGUUAAUCGGAAUUACUGGGCGUAAAGCGUGCGCAGGCGGUUAUAUAAGACAGAUGUGAAAUCCCCGGGCUCAACCUGGGACCUGCAUUUGUGACUGUAUAGCUAGAGUACGGUAGAGGGGGAUGGAAUUCCGCGUGUAGCAGUGAAAUGCGUAGAUAUGCGGAGGAACACCGAUGGCGAAGGCAAUCCCCUGGACCUGUACUGACGCUCAUGCACGAAAGCGUGGGGAGCAGACAGGAUUAGAUACCCCAGUAGUCCCUGUCUCUUAUAC